UUGAGACGUCCUCCUCAGCGCGCAGGCUUCACGGUACCAACCGUGCGGUAUCAUCGCUACAUGAUGAGUGCACUGCCCCAACCAUUGAAGCAUCACAAGGUGCUUGCCUGCCGCCGCCGCCGCUGAUACGUACACGAUUGCUGCCACACAACCAACACAUCACACCCAACAAUCACAACAACAAAACAACUGAGACCCGCCGCCGUGCAACGCACACUGUACACGCCCCAGGGCCGAGAACACAACGCAACACAAGCACCUGACAUGCCUCAUCCAGGCAUGCGUCACUCAAUCGCCCACCGAGCCGACCUCGCACACGCCGUUCGUGAGCCCCUGCGGCUGACAUGCCCGGCCCUGCCCCCUUGGCACCGCAGCCCUGCCGCCUUGGCACCGCCGCCCAUUGCCCCACCCCCAUGCUGCGUGCCAUGUAAGAAUAAAGCCAGGUCCCCAUCAAGCCGCAGCAUAUAUCCCCGCCAAGCCACCAGACUCCUCUUGCCGCACGCUACCAACCACCACCAGCACAGGACCGGCACCUGCCUGUCCCCCUGUUUAGUUUGGGCUGAUAUUUACAACCCCCCACCCUCCCCUCCCCACCUUCCCCAUUGCCAACCUCGCCCACCGCGCCGACAUGCACGCCGGCACCUCGCUCGUGCCUCUCGAGGCCUCCCAUCUUCCGUAGCUAGAGAUCCCUGUCCACGAGUAUCCACUUGGGCUCCAGCCCACUCCUGAUGCACACGCCGGCAUUACCCAGGUCUGCAUGGUUUGCAUGCCUGCCUGUCUACCGUGCACGCACACCUGCCUAGCUACGCAGACCUACUACCGUCCUUUUUGACCCGCCUCCGCCGCCACCGCCGCCGUCUCCUCCCUCUGGCCGCCGUGCCGGCCGCGCCAGCAGCUGCUGUUGUGGGUUGCCGCCAGAGCCGCCGCCGCCCUUGUUGCUGUUGGUGGUGGUGGUUGCGGGCUGGUGUGGCGCGGCCGUAGUGACAGCCGCAGCGCCGCCCACGGCACCCGCUGUCACUGUUUCCACCGCCACCGCCGGCUGCUGCAGCCGGCGCAGCAGGUAGGCCUCCUGCUCGGAAGGAGUCAGGAAGUCCCAUUCCCAGUACGGCACUAGUAGGACGCCGCCCUCCUUAAACGCCCGCCGCAGCUGCCGAAUGCGAAUGGCCGUACCCCCUUCCACAGCAGCGCUGGGGUCUUGCUGCUGCGUUUGUGUCAAGAGGUAACGUUUCGGUCCGAGGAACUCCACCGCCGCCUGCUGCCCGUCACUCAGCCGCACCACCGCAUCCACUGGCGCCAACACUCCUGGCGCGACAACGCCCGUCUGAAGGGACUGAACGGCUAGGCCCCCUGCUGCCUUGAGGCCCUGCUGCUCAAGCCGCCGCAGCGCUGCAACGACCUGCUUUUGAGUAUCUGAUGUGGGCUUGGCGUCUUCCCUCUCAGUAGUCACCGCCGCUGCCAUCGCCGCCUGCAGUCCGCUGCCGCUGCCCAGGGCCGCCGCCACCUCGCCGCCUAGCUCCUGCUGCGCCUGCCACAGCUGUUUGAGAUGCUCAGUUGUAAGACCCUCCCAACGGCUUACUGCUUCACGGGCCAGCUGAAUGGAUAGCUGCUUCAUGUCGGGAGAAUACGUGCCUCCGAACACAGCCAUGGCCCACAGGCUGUUGCAUACGUGCUGGUGCAGGACUGUGUCAGAGUCAUGCUGCAGCAGCUCGCCCAGCCGACCGCACACCGCCGCCUCCAAGCCAGCGUGCCGCAGCUGCAGCACCGCCAGCGCGUACAGCGUAUUGGCACAGUUCUGACCACCGGCACUACUGGCGCGCAUGGCUGCUACUGCUGCGCCCGAGUCAAGCAGCUCCGCCGGCGGCUGGUGGCGCAUCAACGCAAGCGCGUACAGCAGAUUGGACCAGGCCUGAGAUGUUGCGCGGGCCAUGGCGCCCGACUGCGUUGCUGCGUCCACCGCUGCUGAAACCCACUGCCGCUGCUCGGCCGGCGCCUCCGGGCCCGCCCCAAAUCCCAUCUUGGCUAGGGCCCACGCUGAGUUGCUGAGGUCCUGAGCGAUGUACCCGUCAAACCCCCGCCGCACGUCCUCUGCGGCCACUGCCACCACCAGCUCUGCCUGCUCGCUGCAUAGCUGCAGCCCCUCCAGCGCCAGCAGGAUGUUGGAUAGCUGUUGCGGGAUAAAUGCUGCAGCGAGCUCCGGUUUCCGGAGCCGCUGCAGUGCCUCCCCGCACAGCGCCUCAACUGCUGACCGGUACUCUGGUCCUGUGCACCCCAGAGCUUUGAGAGCCCAUAGGCUGUUUGAAACAUCUUGCGGCUUGAAGCCGUGGCCCGCCACCGUUCUCAAGCGAGAAGCCACAGCUGCCGCCAAGGUCUGCAAGUGUGGCGAUGAGGUGGGGUCCCAGCCUGAGCCCCGCUGCUGCUGGUCUUGCUUGAGCUUGCCGAGCGCGUACAUGACAAUUGCGAGGUUCUGAGGUUCCGCCUUCCCAAGAACCUCAGGAUCCACUAGCCGCUCCAGCAGAGCUGCUGCAAGCUGAGCCUCCGUGCCGCCGCCGACCAAUCCAGCUUUGCCCAGCGCCCACAGCGGAAUGCUGCAGUUCUUUGCGUUGCGGAUGCGCGGCACGAGCGGCAGGUAGGCCGGCGCAAGCAUGCCGAUAAUGCUGCUGCGUGCUACAGCCGUUUGGCUUGCUCCAGCGCGCGACUCCAGCUGCGUUCAAAGCAGUUAUGAGGGACAUACAUGGGGUCAAGUGCUAUAUGCAUGUGUUUGUGCGUGUGCGUGAACAGGUGCGCAUGCAAGUCCUGUGUGGCCAUCUGCGUCGUGAGAACCGGAAGUCCGGGCCGAGAACGACAACAAUGGACUCGCCCUCCAUUCUGCACUUCAUUUCUGUGCCCAUUCCCACCUGCACGUAUUAGUCCUCCCUCUCACCUUGCCGCACAGGUUGAACGCCGCACACAUGGUAAUGAAGUCUUUUCGGCCCUCCCACACUGAUAGCCGCUGGCUGAUGAUUGCUUGCAGCUCCUCCAGAGUCCGACACACGGUCAUGUCAUCCGCGGGGUCACGCCCGCUGCCCCUGCUUCUGCCGCUGGCGCGGCUGCCAUCGCCUGCCCUGCCUCCGCCGCUUCCCCUACCCNNNNNNNNNNNNNNNNNNNNNNNNNNNNNNNNNNNNNNNNNNNNNNNNNNNNNNNNNNNNNNNNNNNNNNNNNNNNNNNNNNNNNNNNNNNNNNNNNNNNGAGAAUAACGCAAGGAACGAAAGGUCAGGUGCGUGUAGGUCGCUGGGCCAAAGCCGCCUGAGUAGCUGUGGCUUGGUAUGGAUGAUAAAGCAACUGAAUCAAUUUGCCACCGGUGUUGAGGCGAGGGCGACCUGACCGCGAAAUACACGGCCCGAGGGCACGCCCCGUAUCAACACCCCUCGCGACCUCCAAACACGUGCACUGAACCGCGAAGCCCUCCCCCAAGCCUAUCGCGGCUGCUAUUCCCAUGUCCUCCUCCCCAACCAUUCUGCAUACAGGCUCUGGCGUGAGUCCCUGCCCGCGUCAUUUGACACCCGUCGACCACGACUGAGGUGCAACGCAUGUCGCUUACAAAUCCAACAUCCCGCCCGACACGAGAGGGGCAGAAACGGCGGGGCAGACGGCCAGCCUCUUGAACAUGAGCAUAGCAGUGCAAUAUCGCACAUUGGGUCCCCGCCUGCUUCACCUGGCCACCUUUGCUGAUUUGUCUGACAUCCCUGUCUACACACUUUUAUCCGCCCACGCUUGAGACGUCCUCCUCAGCGCGCAGGCUUCACGGUACCAACCGUGCGGUAUCAUCGCUACAUGAUGAGUGCACUGCCCCAACCAUUGAAGCAUCACAAGGUGCUUGCCUGCCGCCGCCGCCGCUGAUACGUACACGAUUGCUGCCACACAACCAACACAUCACACCCAACAAUCACAACAACAAAACAACUGAGACCCGCCGCCGUGCAACGCACACUGUACACGCCCC
rnacentral:lncRNA from 1 species